rnacentral:rRNA from 1 species
UACGUAGGGGGCAAGCGUUGUCCGGAUUUAUUGGGCGUAAAGAGCGUGUAGGCGGCCAUACAGGUCAGCUGUGAAAACUCGAGGCUCAACCUCGAGACGUCGGUUGAAACCGUAUGGCUAGAGUCCGGAAGAGGAGAGUGGAAUUCCCGGUGUAGCGGUGAAAUGCGCAGAUAUCGGGAAGAACACCGGUGGCGAAGGCGGGUCUCUGGGCCGAUACUGACGCUGAGGAGCGAAAGCGUGGGGAGCGAACAGG